GAUUUUAUAAGGUGAGGCUCUAAUUUGGACAGGAGGUUCACCGUGAUCAACAGUCAAACUCCUAAGAGGUGGAUGCUCGGAUUCUAUGGUUCUAUUGCUAUCAGAAAGAUUCCACUCAGUGGUUUUCUUUCUAACGGUAAUAGGGUUCGAUUCUUUGAAGGGAUAAGAAAUGUUGUAAUCUGAAGCAUAUAAUUGAAACCAGUCAAAAAACAAGAUAUGAACUUUAUGCAAAUUUAUAAAUUCGUAAUAAACUUCUUGAAUCUCUUUUCUUUGGUUUAAAAAAUGUUUAAAAAACCAAAGUCUCUUUUCUUUAUUCGAAUCAGAAUAAAAAACAUUAUGCAAUAGAGUUUAUCCAAUUCAAAAUCUUUUUCAAUGACAUUUAUUACAUUUUCAGUGAUAGCUGAAAAUGUAGGAGAAGUUGGAGGAGAAGGUUCUUUUUCUUCCUUUCUAUGUUGACUACUAGUGUAAAUUGGAUGUGGUACGCUAGUGGCAUAGUCAACAGAGUGAAUGAAGGAGCUAGGUAUGUCUGAAGUAGAAAACCUAGACUGGCUCUGGAAAGGAAGGUUUAUUUCAGAAGGGAUUUUGGAAAAUUUCUUUUCCAAUGAAGGGAUACUAGAGACAGAAUCCUUAUCUGAGAAUCUAGACGAAGUAGAUCUCCUAAAAGAUAAUUUGACUUUACCAUCUGAAUACUGAGUCACAUUUUGUAACUCUGUAUUAGGCUCAAGUUGUUUAGAAAUCACUGGAGCAGUGGCUCCUUCAAGAAUCCAUUCAUCUGGAAGAUUGACAUCUUUCCAUUGGAUUGGUUUUGGAAUAACCGUAUUGGCUUUGGACAAAUCAGUCUGUAAGAGAAGAGUUUCAUCUCUUUUCGACUGGAAUUUGUGUUGUUUGCUAAAUGCAAAAAUCAUGGCUUUAUAAGAGAUUUUAAAAAUCAAAGCAACUGGGACAGAUCCCUCAAUCAUAUGAUAAUUAUGAGUUUUGAUUUGUAAAAUCUUGCUUUUCAAAAUAUUUUUGUCUUUUAAAGAAAUUGUCAUAUUCGGGUAAUAAUUAAAUGAAAUAGGGCCUUUACAAAGACUCGACUCUAUACUACUUAGCAAAGAAUCAUCAAAAGAGAUGAAUCGCCCAUCUCUUAGGACAACAAGAAUGGAAGUGUUAAGUCCUUCCUUAGUGAGAGGCUUUAUACCGACUUGAAUUAAACCGAUAUGAACAUAAUUAAAAUUUUUAUCCUUUAACUUCUUUAAAGACUGUUCUGAAAACAAAUGAAUUGUCUCAAAAGGCUUUGAAAGAGUGAUAUCUCGUUCUUCAGUCUUUAUGACGUAAUCAUUUUUUAAGAAAUCAAACUUUUUUGCUUUGUAAAUCAUUUCUUUGGAAAUCUUUUGAAGUUCCCAAUUAUCAAUUGCUUUAUUGAAAUCUUCAAUUACAAAUUCUUCAGAAUUCACAACGUUCUUUGAAUCACUAGUUCUUCCUGAAGAAGAGCUAGAAAAGGACGAUGCUCUACAGAGUAGAGAGUCCAUGGAUAAAAACCUAUGUUUUUCUCUAAGUCCUGUCAGUAUGGCUACAGGUAUGGUUUUACUGCCCUCAAUGGAAAACCUUAUCCUAAAACGAGAUUUAGUACCAGUAAAGAAAUUCACUACACAAACAAAAUUCAAAUAAAACACAAGUCUUUAAACACAAAGUCUCUAAUCUAUAUUACACUAUCCUCCCCUUGGCUCUGAUACCAGAAAGGAAAUAAGAUCGAAGGACGGAAGUGUUUUCAAAAGAAUAUAAAUUAAAUGUUUCAGUGUGCAAUUUUUAAAUGGUACCUUUUACGAUCGCAGUUGUCCUUUUUAGAAAUCACUUGAAGUACGUGACUUGUUUUCCGACAGUGCUGACCAGACUAGUGUCUAUUCAGGAUCACCUCUGGAAUUUACGUCGUCGGUUUCCUGUUGAUAUACUCAAAUGAAAAUAAUUUACCAAAUAUCUAUUAGAUUUUUUAAACAAGCCUAGCAACAAACAUACAUCUAAAGGCUUAUAGAUAGUACUAGAUCUGGAUCCCAGAAAUAGCACUCUGAUUGGAUGGAGGGAGAAGAGAAGAUACAAUUGAGGAUAGAGAUCUGGUCUCGUUGCCUCAGAGGAACAUAGCAGUUGUAUGACAGAUAUGAUACAGAUAAGUCUGCAAAUGAUGCUUUAAAGUAAAUUGCAAAAAUUUAAACAUACAUGAACUAAACUUUAUUACAAGCUUUGAAAUAAACUUACAGAAUUACAAAUCUUACAUGUGGUUUUCUUGAUCUGAUGCUUUAAAAGAAAAUGUUAAAAGAGAAUUGGGAAAUUAAUCUGAAGACAUAAAAAUUUCCUUGAUGUCUUCGGAUUUCUGAUUCCCAGAGGGAGAGAGAGAGAGAGAGAGAGAGAAAGAAAGAAGAGAAGAGAGAACUCAAAAAUUGAAAAUCUGAGGAGUUUAAGUCUUCCUCCCGAUUUAAAUACAAAGAAUGGAUCUUUAAAUUGUAGCGAGUCUGUAGCUUCUUUACUGCAGUUUUUCCACUGUAGCGAAACUGUAGCUUCUCCACUAUAGCGAAACUGUAGUCUUUGUAAUGUACAUUAUUUAAAAAUACAAGUAUGACUUGGGUGAAGAGACAUGUGCGCUCUCACUUGUGUUCAGGGGACCACCCGAAGGUAUAAAAAUACAUAUACAAAAAAGGAAAAUACGAGAGAGGAAAAUAUACAUGAUAAUUAUUCUCUUUUUUUAUUUUUAUAUUUGUUCCAAAAAGAAACAAGGUUAACAAUAAUUUGGGCAUUGCUCCUUUCAUUUUGAGUUAUAUUACAGUAGCGCUGAAUUUGUUAAUUUCCCCAACAAUUUCAAAAAUUAAAUUCAAUAUUUAUUUCAUGUAUGAGAAUAAAUUUUUGGUAAGAGAAGAAGAUGAAUAAAAGAAAGAGAACAUGGUUAAAUAAGUAAUUGACCAAAUUAUAUUUUCACAAUAAAAGUUAGUUUUAAUUAAAAAAUGGGUGCAAUGAGAAAUUUAUGGUGCAUUUACUUUGUGGCAAUUGAAAUGAGUUGAAAUCUAAAUAGAUUGUUACAAGUUAUUAAAAUGCCCUUAAAUGAUAUUAUAAUAAUAAUAAUUAUUAAUAUUAUUCUAAUUAUUAUUAUAAUAGUAAUUGUUGUUGACAUUAUUAUUUUAUUAUAACAAUUAUUACUGCACAAAAGAGAGGUCGAAUUCGCAUGCAACCUUCAGUCAAGCCCAUUUAGGGGACCUUGACCCAUAAGGGAAUACUUUGUGGAACAAGAAUAAAGGGAAUUUUCUCUUACAGAGAUAAUAAAGUCACUCAAAGAAAUGGAAUUUUGGGAAUCCCAUUCCCAACCCCUACGGGAGUGGGAAAUUCAUUCCUUGUGAAGCUAGUUAGUUAAUUCUGUUAUGUGAUUAAGUGGCGUGCUGAGUCAGCAUUUGUGUGGGGCCAGUAGUUAGUUAAUUUGUUAUUGCUAACAGCUGGACAACAACAGCUAUAUAUACAUAGCUCAAAGCUGAUCAACAUAUACUUUUCAAUCACGAUUUUGAGGGACCUAGGGUGAGAGAUAUGAAAUUCUCUGUAUGAGAGAUUUAAUCUUUGUCAUCAAAAGUCUCUUUGUCAUCAUCUUCUUUCUUUUCUGGUUAUUACUUGUAUUGGGUUGGUUAACGUUCUUUGUUAAAGAGAGUUGAUCUUGGUCGAUUGGGUUCGUUAGCUCAUGUUGGUUGAUUAACGGCUGAUGAUUUGAGUAAUUCCACAACAAACUGGUAUCAGAGCUCUAAAAGCUCUCAGUUCUUGUUCUCAAAUGGCUAGUACAAGAUUUGAGGUAGAAAAAUUCAACGGAGAAAAUGACUUCUAUCUAUGGAGUCUCAAGAUGCAUGCAAUCUUGAUCCAACAGGGGCUUGACGGUGCUCUUGACAAUAAAGAAGACCAAAUUGGCAAGAAAGAGAAAUCAGAAGGCUCCUCAAGCUUAGGUGGAGACAUGAGGUCCAUUAACAAAAAAGCCCACAGCACCAUCAUCUUGCACCUUUCAGAUGAAGUGCUGAGAGAGGUAGCAAAAGAAAAAUCAGCUUCUGGCCUAUGGUCUAAACUUGAAGAAUUAUUCUUGAAGAAAUCUUUGGCCAACAGACUCUAUAUGAAAAAGAAACUGUAUACGUUCUCAAUGAAGGAGGGAACAACCAUGAAAGACUAUCUUGAUGAAUUCAACAAGCUAAUCCUGGAUCUUGAGAAUGUAAACAUCAACCUUGAAGAUGAAGACAUAGCUCUUAUCUUGUUAAGCUCACUGCCAGAUUCAUAUGAGCACUUUGUUGACACAUUACUAUAUGGGAGACAAACUCUUACAUUGAAAGAUGUGAAGAGUGCUCUGGAAUCAAAAGAUUUGAAGAAAAGAGCUGAGGGAAAAGAUCAGGGCGUUGGUGAAGGCCUGAUGGCCAAAUCAAAGCCUGAAAAGAAGAAAAAUCAUGAGAAGAAAGGUAACAAUCAGAAGGAUAAAGCUGAUAAGAAAAAGAAGAAGAGAAAGUGUUACUUCUGUCAAAAGGAAGGGCAUUAUAUAAAGGAUUGUUUCGAAAAGAAAAAACUUGAAAAGAUGCAGAAAGAAUCAUCAGGGAAGGCAGCCAUUGCAUCAGAAGAUGAAGGGAUUCAGAAGAUGCAGAUGUACUCAUAGCUGCAGAAAGACAACCAACUGAAUAAUGGAUCUUGGACUCAGGUUGCUCAUUUCACAUGAGCCCAAACAAGCAACUCUUCAAGACUUUUGAGAAAGUUAAUAUAGGUAAGGUUUUAUUGGGAAAUAACUUGGCCUGUAAAGUUCUUGGAAUUGGAACUGUUACUAUAACUAUGCAUGAAGGGGGUAGAGAGAGAUCUAAGAAAUGUGAGAUAUGUUUCAGAGCUUAGGAGAAAUCUAAUAUCCCUAGGAACUGUUAACCAGUCUGGCUGUAGCAUAAAGGCAAAAAAUGGUGAACUGCAAGUUACUAAAAAUGGCAUAGUUAUAAUGAAGGGAAUUAGAAGAAAUGGGUUAUAUGUCCUAAUUGGAUCAUCCUCCUCACCAGGAGUUAUAGUCUCUGUUACUAUAGAUAAAACAAAACUGUGGCACAUAAGAUUGGCUCACAUGAGUGAAAAUGGGUUAAAAGAGUUGGACAAAAAAGGUCUAAUUGGCUCUGAUAAGAUUUCAUCUUUUGAGUUCUGUGAAAAAUGUGUGUUUGGAAAGGCAACUAGACAGAGGUUUGGGACUGGGAAGCAAGAAACCAAUAAUUCAAUGGAUUAUAUCCAUUCAGAUCUAUGGGGUCCAUCUCAAGUGCUAUCACAUGGUGGAGCUAGGUACUUCAUGACAUUGAUUGAUGACUUUACCAGAAAGGUUUGGGUAUAUAUCUUAAAGCAUAAGGGUGAAGCUCUACUGAAGUUUAAGGAAUGAUUGACUUUGAUUGAAAACCAAACAGACAGGAAGGUAAAGAGACUAAGGACUAAUAAUGGGCUGGAGUACUGUAGUAAAGAGUUUGAUGAGUUUUGUAAAGAGAAGGGGAUUGCAAGGCACAAGACUGUUAGACACACACCCCAGCAAAAUGGACUUGCCAAAAGGAUGAAUAGCUCACUGACUUGACCAUAAUGACGAUGUUAGCUGCCAAGAAUCUAAUCUGGUGGUCGCUGAAGCUGUCACCACAUCAGCAUACAUGAUAAAUAAAAGCCUAUCUUCAGCACUAAAUUUCAGAACUCCACAAGAGGUUUGGUCUGGAAAACCACCUGAUCUAAGUCAUAUGAGAAUCUUUAGCUCACCAACAUAUGCUCAUAUCAACCAAGGAAAACUUGAACCUAGGGCAAUGAAGGGUAUCUUCAUUGGCUACCCUGAAGGUGUUAAGGGAUAUAGAAUAUGGUGCAUUGAUGGGAAACCUUCAAGAAUAAUAAUGAGCAGGGAUGAUGUAUUUGAUGAGGGUUCCAUGCUGCAGCAAAAGGUUGAAACUGAACUAAUAACUUCUGAGCAAAGAGGCAACCAUGAGCCGAACCCGGAGGUGGAGCUUACUGAUGAUCAUAGGGACACUGAUGAAAAGUUCAAGUCUUGUGACAGUAAACCUGGUUCCUCAGAAAUGGAUAACUACCAGCUAGCAGGAGACAGAGAAAGAAGGGUUAUCAAAAUGCCUAAGAGAUUUGGUAUAGCUGAUUUGAUAUCUUAUGCACUAAAUAUUGUUGAAGAAGUUAUUGGGGAAGAGCCCAGCAGCUAUAAGCAAGCCAUGAAUAGUAGAGAUAAAUCCAAGAGGCUGUCAGUAAUGGAAGAAGAAAUAUCCUCAUUAAAGAAAAACAACACCUGGACUCUGGUGAGAAAACAAGGGGGUAGGAAGCUGGUUGGGUGUAAGUGGAUUUUCAAAUAUAAAGAUAGAGUUACAAGUGUUGAACCCCCUAGAUAUAAGGCUAGGCUGGUGGCUAAGGGCUUUACACAAAGAAAAUGAGUAGAUUACAGUGAAGUUUUUUCACCAGUUGUCAAGUAUAGCUCAAUCAGAGUGUUGCUUGCAAUAAUAACCUACAAUGAUUUGGAGUUGGAUCAAAUGGAUGUCAAGACAACCUUCCUACAUGGCAAUCUUGAAGAAGAGAUAUACAUGGAACAACAAGAAGGUUUCAUACAAAAGGGGUCAGAGGACAUGGUUUGUUUGCUUAAGAAGAGCUUGUAUGGCUUAAAGCAAUCCCCCAGGCAGUGGUAUUUGAGGUUUGACCAAUUUAUGAUUGCUCAUGGUUACUUGAGGAGUCAAUAUGAUAGCUGUGUGUACUGCAAGUUCCUACUUUCUGGAGAUGGAAUUUAUUUGCUUCUCUAUGUUGAUGACAUGCUCAUUGCAUGCAAGCACAUAGAAGAAAUAGAAAAGCAUAAAUCUGAGCUAAGGUCUGAAUUUGAGAUGAAGGACUUAGGCUCUGCCAGUAAGAUUCUAGGAAUGCAGGUUAAAAGGGAUAGAGCUGUAAAGACUUUAUUUCUCACACAGGCUGGUUAUGUCAGAAAGGUGCUCAACAAGUUUGACAUGGUUACCACUAAAGCAGUUUCCACUCAUUUAGGCACACUUUCAAGCUGUCAAAACAGCAAGAACUAUCUGAUGAUAUAGAUAUUGAGUACAUGAAGAAAGUUCCAUACUCCAGUGUGGUUGGACGCAUUAUGUAUACUAUGGUGUGCUCUAGGCUUGAUGUUGCUUAUGGGGUAGGUGUAGUUAGCAGAUUCAUGGGGAACCUAGAAAAUAUGCAUUGGAAUGCUGCUUAGUGGAUACUUUGGUAUCUGAGUGGAUCAUCUGAUUUUGGUAUUCUGUUUAGUAGGGAUAACAAUGUCACAAGUAAGGUCAUAGGCUAUGUGGACUCAGACUUUACUGGUGAUUUGGACAAGAGGAAGUCUACUACUGGUUUUAUUUACACCAUGUGUGGAGGAGCUGUGAGUUGGAAAGCAUCACUGCAAUCAGUUGUUGCUUUAUCAACUACUAAAGCCGAAUACAUUGCACUUGCUGAAGCUGUUAAAGAAGCAAAGUGGCUAAGAAGGAUUAUAUCUGAACUGGGCUUGAUUCAAGAUACAAUUCCCAUGUGUUGUGACAGCUCAAGUGCAAUUCAGUUGAGCAGAAAUUCCAAAUACCAUGAGAGGACCAAGUAUGUGGAUGUGAAGUUACACUUCAUAAGAGAGAAAAUUGAAAGGGGAGUAGUGGAUGUUGUAGAAAUCUCUACUGAAGACAAUCCAGCAGAUGCACUGACAAAACCAAUACCAACAGUCAAGUUCAGGAACUCUCUGAGCUUGAUUGGAGUUAGAAGCUUGUAAGUCAAGCAUAUUAACAAGCUGAAGCAGAGAUGGGUGAAGCUGGAACAAAAUGAACUAAGGUGGAGAUUUGUGAAGCUAGUUAGUUAAUUCUGUUAUGUGAUUAAGUGGCGUGCUGAGUCAGCAUUUGUAUGGGGCUAGUAGUUAGUUAAUUUGUUACUGCUAACAGUUGGACAACAGCAGCUAUAUAUACAUAGCUCAGAGUUGAUCAGCAUAUACUUUUUAGUCACGAUUUUGAGGGACCUAAGUGAGAGAUAGGAAAUUCUUUGUAGGAGAGAUUGAAUCUUUGUCAUCAAAAGUCUCUUUGUAAACACUUUGUUCAAUAAAAGCUUCAAGCCCAGGAGGGUUCUUCAGUCGUGGAUGUAGGUACUUUGGUACUGAACCACGUUAUUCUGUGCGUGUUGUUUCCUGUUCAUCUUCUUUCUUUUCUGGUUAUUACUUGCAUUGGGUUGGUUAACGUUCUUUGUUAAAGAGAGUUGAUCUUGGUCGAUUGGGUUCGUUAGCUCAUGUUGGUUGAUUAAUGGCUGAGGAUUUGAGUAAUUCCACAACAUUCCUCAUUCCUAAAUUUAGUAGGUCCCAUCACUUUCAUUUGCAUUCUUUGAUUUAAUUUUACAAGUAAUUACAUACAAUGGAAAUUAUUUUCUAAUUCAAGAAGUAAAUACACUCUUACUAGGUUUAAACCGUCCCACCCAUGGCCAUAGUACACACACACAUAGGGGUGUAUGUAUGUAUUUGUAUAUGUGUGUGUGUGUAUUUCACUCCAAAACAAGACCAGGCUAUAGCCCAUCUUACCAUCCACAAUGAUUCGCCCAUGAUCAUAUGACUCAUAUCAUUGAUGAUGUAACUUUUAAGAUUGCUUUCUCAUAUAUGUAUUAAUGUUAAUCUAAGUUCGAUGUGUUAAAGUGAGGCAAAGAAAUGGUUACAAAUUUGUUGGUUAAAAGUACGGGUCAGAUGAAAAUGCAAAUUAUAUAUAAUAUUAUAUUUUUUACUAAUUCAAUUUUGGCUUGUGAUUUAAGCGUAGGAUUUAGCUGAAAUGUAGAAAAAAUUACAAAAUAACCAAAAUUGAACAGCAGCAAUCAGCAUCCAAGCAAACAAAUCAGCAGUAGCUUCCAGCAGUGAAAAAUAGGGAUUAAGAUUCUCUCUUGAUCUAAUCAUGUUCUGAGCAAACUAAUUAAUUGCUGAUUGGUUGUUGAUAAAUAAAAAAAAUAAAAGAAGUUAAAUCUUACCCAUACACUACCACUAAAAGACACAUGACAGAAGAUUUUUAAAAUAUCAGUAUAACUCAAAUCAGGAGAGGAUCUUGUUCUGAAAAAUAGUUGCAAAAGCAGCAACAGGUCCGAGAAUUAGUAAAACCGUGAAGGCAUGCGCUAAGAUAUUAGAGCAAUGUCCUCGAGAAAGCUUUGCUGGCGCAAUACAAAGAAUGAUUAUUAAUGUAAGAAUGCAUUUACAAAUGACUAGACUAGAACAAGAAGUUGGAUAUGCUUUUGGUAAAGAAAAGUGAACUAUUUGUUUUAUGUAAUAUAACAAAAGAAAUUGUUUUCUUAAAUUAUUCAAUGGAAUGGGCAUCAGGGUACAACUUUCAAAUUUUUAGAGGUAUCUAAUAAAUAAAGGAAGUUGGUGCUUCAAGAAGUAAUUGAAGAUAGAAACUCCAUAGGUUAAAUUUAUUAACCUAAAAAAUUUUAGUUUUCGCAUUUUGUUGUUAUGUAAUUUAGUCACAAGUAAAUCAUUUUUCUAUACCCACUGUUAUGUACGAGGGAGAUUUUAUAAAUAAAAUGAAAACAUAAUUACAUCUAAAAGGAGGAAAAUAUCGAGCCUUAGCCAAAAUAAAAUCUAAAACAACAAAAGCUUGAAAGCUUGAAUACCAAAAAAUAAACAACCUAAACAUAAGCAGACCCAAAAAGUAAACCAAAAUGCAUGCAAUGCAACAAAAACUAACAGGUUGUUUAGCAGUUUUCUUGGUUUUGUUUCUAUUCAAGCUUUUAAAAUCACUAAGAGCUUUUGUUGAUAUCACUGACUUAUUUUGUGUUGACGAUAAUUAUAAACAAAUAUGAAUUGUAGAUUGGUAGCAAUGGAUUUUGCAAAACGUAGCAAAUCUCAAUUAUAUUUUUGUUGACAUAAAUUCGCUUCAACAUUAAAUCACUAGCAUCAAUGAACAAGCAACGAAGAUAUAGCCUCUGACUAAAUCGAAAUAAAUUUCAAAGUAGUGAAUUCAAUGGCAUCGCUAGAUACUUUCUUCCUAUAGAUCACGCGCGCGCCCCAACUACUGCAGAGAAUCUCCCUUAUACAUGCCAUGCUAUUUAGCUAAAGGCCAGAGUUUGAGAUUGUAAUGGCCGAUAAAAUUAGUUGCUUUUAUUGUGCUGAUGAAAUAAACUGUUAAAUAAAAAUAUAAUUAGGUAUUUGGUAAAUUAUGUUAUUGCGAUUGUUGUAAGUAGAUGAAGAAAGAUGUUUAAUAAAUUUUAUUAUGAAAGUGUUACCUUAUUAUAUAACGAACAAAAUAAAUAUAAGUUUACAUUAUCUUUUUAUUUUUAAGAGUCAGAUUAAUAAAUUUAUCAGGCAUGUGGUACACUUAAUAAAUUAUUUAAACAUGUCUUACUUUUUUUACUACAUAUGUACAAUUCAUAAAAAAUAAAGAAAGUGAAAUAUAUACAAUAUCAUUUUCUAUCUUAGCAGUUAAUUUCUCGUGGGUAAUGGGUUUGCUUUAACCAGGGUCGGCUCUAGCACAUUAGCGACCUUAGUCGAAAUUUUUGUGUGGGACCUUUCUCUAUUUAAAAACAACAAUUCUUAAAACCAUUAAAUAAUGUCAUUAUUUUAUUUUAAUGAAACAUAAGAAAGACAUUUCAUUUAUAUUACAAAUAAAAUCACAUUUAGUUUUACAAGUUUCAUAAUACAAGCACCAGUUGAUCAACAUUUUCAACACCAACAACAAGACCUCAAAUCAAAAGAAUGCAUGUAAAUUAACAACUUUAAAAAUUGACAAUAUAAAUGCUACUAUCUCCUGGGAAUUCAAACUGUAGUAGGAAAAUAGCAAAUAUCCUGAAAACUCCAUCUCUAUCACAAAAUCACAUAUUUGAUAGGACCAUAACCCAUAAGAUAAUGUGACUAUAUCAUUGCUCCAACAGUCCAACCGCUUCAUGUUUUGAUCAUUGUUGAAUGCAAUACUAACACAAGUAAUUAAUCAAUUAAAAAUUAUUCUUCUUGCUUUUUUAGAUGCAAAGUUAUUAAUUAAAUCCUCAAAAUUUAGGUUACCUAAAAAAUCUUUUAUCAAUUGAUAACAUAGCUAAUCCAUUUAAUCUUUCUUGUGACAUUGUUAAUCUUAAAAAAGAUUUUAUCAAUUUCAGUUUUGAAAAACUCCUCUUAGCUGAAGCAACAGUUACAGGUAUUGUCAAUAAUAUUCUAUAAGCAACAAAUGCAUUAGGAAAAGAUCCUAUCUUUUUAAUAUAAUUAAGAAUGUCAAGUGAAGUAUUUAUUUUAAUUUGUAAAACUUCUUUCAAAACUUUUAACUUUGAAAACAAAUCUAAUCCAUCAAUAUCAGAAAACAUAUCAUGUUUCAAAGACUUUUCAAGAUGCAUGCAACUAUUUUUCAAACUAUCAUCAUCUAAUUUUUACCUUUUCAAAACUAAAUAAAAAUCCAAAAAUGCUUUCAUAUAAUUCAAACUACUGAAAUCUAAUCUUGAUAGAAGAAAUAACUUGAUCGACAAUAUAAAUAAAGUAAUCAAUUCUAAAAGAAUCUUCAUGGGACGAAAUUCUUUCUUCAUUAUUAUUCUCACCAAAUACAGGUUUUCUACGAAUUACACCUUUUUCUUGAAAUUUUGGCUCUAUUCCCAUUUCACUUGCAAUCUUUUUAGCUGAAAUAAUAGCCGACACAUAACCACGUUCUCUAUAAUUUUCAAAAAAAGAUGUAAGACCUUUUAGUUGAUUUAUGACAACAUCGAUUUGCAUAUCUUGCUUUUGUAAGUUUUUACUAACAGUGUUCACAACAAAUAAUAUAUCAUACCAAAUAGUCAUACGUAAUAAAAAUUCAAAGUUUUCCAACUUAUAUGUUGCUAAACAUUUAGCUUCACUAUUUGUUUUAGGAUCUUCACCAAAUUCUGCCAAUUGGAGUAAAGCAUCUCUAAUUUGUGGGGCUUGAAACCUUAUUGCUUGAACACUUUCUAUGUGACUUUCCCAACGAGUUUUUGAUAAUGAUUUAACAGUUAAAUUAGGUACAUGAUCUUUUAAAAUUUUCCAUCUCUUUGUUGAAGAAGAAAACAAUGAAUAAUAUGUUGUAAAACUCCACAAAAAAAAAAAAGUAGCUUUAGAACAAGAAUUAGCCAUAUCACAAAGUACUAAAUUAAGACUAUGACAGCCACAUGGUGUAUAAAAUGCUCUAGGAUUUAUUUCUAACAAUCUUUUUUGUACACCUUGAUUUUUUCCUUUCAUAUUAGAUCCAUUAUCAUAUCCUUGUCCUCUUACAUCAUUAAUAUCAAGCUCAAGUGUUUUUAAUACAUCCACAAGUUCACUAAACAAACCUUUUCCAGUGGUAUCAUCUACCUUUAAAAAUCCUAAAAAGUAUUCUUCUACAUUUACUGGAUUUGUUGAAAUAUCUAUACAUCUUAGUAUGAGAGACAUUUGUUCUUAGUGACUUACAUCUGGAGUACAAUCAAGUAUAACUGAAAAAUAUUUUGCUUCCUUGACUUUGUUAACAAUUGAUUUUUUUAUUUCAUGUGCUAGCAUCAAAAUUAAUUCAUUUUGUAUGUUAUGGCCAAGAUAAUGAUUAUGAAUUUCACCUGUUUUAAUACGUCAAAUGUGCUCUUGCAUUGUUGGAUCAAAUUCUGCUAUCAUUUCAAUGAAACUUAAAAAAUUUCCAUUGCUCUCUUCAUAGAUCUUUUCAUUUGUUCCACGAAAUGCUAAAUUAUUUUUUGCAAGACUUUUACAACAACAAUAAUUCUUAUUAGUACUUUCUUCCAAUGUUCUUUCUCCUUGUUUAUUCUUUCUUGAGCAUCUUUAUCAAUUGUUCUUCUUGUCGACAAUCUUGUUUCUAAAUCAACUCAUGCAUUCAUAUUAGUUAUAUGUUCAUUAGUUGUUUCAUGUCGUUUAAGUUUAGCACUAAGAUUUUUCCAAUCUCUUGACCCUUCAUCACUUAGUUGAGUUUUGCUACAACUUAUAUUGAACAAUUUGCAACAGAAACAAUAUACUUUGUCAAAAUCUUUUGAAUAUAUUAACCAUUUUCUAUCAUGUUUUUUCUCCAUUUGGUAGUAUUUUAACAUAAAAUUUGUUAGAAAAAUGCCUAAGAUUUUCAUCUUUUGGAUAAACUACAUCAUACUCUCUAAUUGGGCCUUUUUCUACUAAAAUAUCUCUUAACUUUGUAUCUAUUUUUUUCCAUCUUCUCGGAUCAUAUAUGUUAUGUGGCAUAGAUAAAGUUUCUACAUUAGCUGUGCCACUAUCAAUUCCAGUUUCUUUUAAAUUUUCUUCUUCAACACUGUUUUCUUCAUCUUUUUCUAAUUCUUUUGGAGCCGAUUGUUGUUCUUGUUCAAUUACUAAUCCUUCACUUAAAUCUCUUUCUUUUUUACAUGUGACAAACUUAUCAAGAGCCCCCCUUUUGAGAUUCAACUAGUUUUUCAAUUCUUCUUCUUUUCAGUAGUUUUUCAUACCCAGAUGCAUAUUUCCUAAUUGACAUCUUCAAUUUUAAAUAACAAACAAAAUCAAACAAUCAAACAAAUUAACAAACAACAAAUCUUCUCCUAUAAAGUACUAAUAUUAUAUAUGAAAACAAACAAACAAACAAAAGCAUAAACAAAUAAUAAAAAACACAAAUACUUGAAAAGUGAAAACGAAAUAAUUAGAAUGAGUGCACCUGGAAAAAAAGAUGAUGACAAAUAGGUAAUGGAUUUUCUUUCUCAAGUACAAAGAAUGUCGAAUUUGAUUAAUUGGAGCAAAUGAGAUGCCGAAUUCAGUCAAUGGGAGCAAAUAAUUAGAAUCCAAUAAUUUCGAAUUUGAUCACUGGAAGGAGAUGAGAUGGUUAGAUGAAGCUUGAAUUAUGGAAUUGAGAAUGAAUAUUCUAGACUUUCUUGCCGAGGAAGAGAGAAUUGAAAAGGCAAAGGAUUUGGGCGUUGCUUUUAAGGUGUUUAAUUGUAAAAGGAAUAUUGAAAGUUUUAUUGAAAAGAUAAUGGAAAUAUUUAAUUACCGUUUGUAUUAAAUAAUUAGUUGUGAUAAUUGGGCCUUUUUAAUUUUAUUGGAAAUAUAAUUAUAUUAACUAAUUGUGAAAAUUGGGCCUUGCUAUUUUUGGGCUCUGGGCGGGUGCCUAUUUGGCCUAACGGUGGAGCCGGCCCUGGCUUUAACCACAAGUGCAUUAUGGCAAACAAGCAUGGAGUUCUCUUUUUCUUUCUCUAUGGAGAAGAUGUUGGAAUCUUUACAAUUCCCAUAAAGUAAAUAAACCCUAAUUUGAAUAAACUUUAGUUUCUAAGAUCAUAAAAUAUCAUGAUUUUUACAUAAUCAUAAUCGCGAGAAAACAUACCUUGAUCUGUAGCAAUUUUUCUUGAUCAAAUCUCACUGCCAAGAGUUAAAGAUUAGUAAAAUUAAUUUCUCUCUAUUGACCUCUUUAGAGCAACUCACUUUCUAAUGGAGAGAAAAUUAACGUGAUAUCCUUUUAUAUAUUGGGAAGAGAGAGGUUUAAUAAAACCCUAAUUCUCACUUUCCAUCAAAGUGGGCAGUUAGUUUUUCCCAAUUGACCAAUAGGAUUUCAGCCCUUGAUUUACUUUAUUAUUGCUAAUUUAAUAAUGUGGCACGUGGGCCACUAUAAAAUAUUCCAACAUUAUCCUAUUUGGCCCAUGUGACACAUUUAAAUUAAUGGUUUAAUAAUAAUAAAUAUUAUGCGCAUAGUAAAAGCUAAAUCCUUACUUGCAUUGGUCAAGCCAUAAAAUCAUCAUUGAACAAAAACUAAUAUGAAUCAUAGCGGUUUCACAUCAUUAUUUCGACAUAGUUCCUCAUAUGUAUCAUAAUAUCAGUUUUAUGCUUAACAUGACCUGUAAUGGGAAAGAAAACAAUAACGGUCCAUCAAUAAUGUCUUAGUCAGAGACAAAACCUAUUAACAAUCAUGUCAUCAUUCAUGUAUAUACCAUUAAAUCAAACAAGAUAUAAAGAAUUAGAAACAAUACUUAAAUGAGCUCAGAGCAUCAAAUACAUAAAGAGCAUAACAAUUUAAACAUAAUGUCGAUAGAGAUAUCCAAUAAUACCCAUCCUUUCAACAUGUUCGCUGAAAAUCUUUGGAUUUAAUCCUUUUGUUAAAGGAUCUGCAAUGAUAAAGUUGGUGCUAAUGUGCUCGAUUGACACUUUUCGUUUAUGAACUUCCUCUUUAAUGGCAAGGUAUUUUAAUUCUAUACGUUUAGCACCCUUUGAAUACCUGUUGUUUUUAGAGAAGAAGAUUACUGCGACUUAUCAUAAUAAAUCUUCAGUAGCUCUGUUGACAAUUCUAAGACCUGAAAUAAAGUUUUGCAGCCAUAAUCCAUGAACAGUGGCUUCAAAGCACGCCACAAACUUAGCUCUAUAGUGCAAGUAGCAUGACGAUCUGUUUUGCACUUUUCCAUGAGAUGGCUCCUCCAGCCUUCAUGAACAAAUAGCCAAAUGUGGAAUUUAUGGUAUCCACACAGCCAACAUGAUCUGAAUCUGAAUACCCUAUCACUUUGAGAUGAUCAGAUCUCUUAUAAGUGAGCAUGUGAUCCUUUGUUCCUAGCAAGUAUCUUAAUUCUUUCUUUGCAGCUUUCCAGUAAUCCAAUCCAAGAUUACUUUGAUAUCUGCCGAGCAUUCUGACAGUAAAACUGAUGUCUGGCCUGGUGCAUGUUUGUGCAUACAUCAAACUUCAAAUAACAAAUGCAUAAGGAAUUAUUUCCAUCUGUUUGCGUUCUAAUUUGUUCUUUGGGCAUUGCAUAAGGCUGAGUUUAUCUCUUUUCUAAAUUGGAACAACACUUGCAGACCGUGUUUCCAUUCUGAAUCUCUCUAAUACUUUAAACUCUUUGGUCUUAUGAAGUAGAGAAAAAUCAUUAGCAGUAAGUAAAAUGUCAUCAACAUACAAAAUUAGAAAAAUAAUCUUACUUCCACUGACCUUGAGAUAUAUACAUCGGUCAAAGAUGUUUUUUUUUUUAAAUCCAAAGGAAGUGAUGGUAUCAUUAAACUUAAGAUACCAUUGUCGGGAGGUUUAGUUAAGUCCGUAUAUUGAUUUCUUUAAUUUACACACGAGAUUUUCCUUUUCUUCAGCUGAAAAGCCUUCAGGUUGGGCCAUAUAAACAUUUUCCUUUAAAUUCCUAUUUAGAAAGGCAGUUUUCACAUCCAUUUGGUGUAACUCUAAAUCAUAGUGAGCCACCAAUGCCAUAAUAAUUCUAAAGGAGUCUUUUUUAGAGAUUGGUGAAAAAGUCUCUUUGCAGUCAACGUCGUCCUUUUGAGUAUAAUUGAUAACUCUAUGAGAUGAGAGUUAUCAUUAUACUUUUAGACUUAAAUAAUGAUUACUUAUAAAGUAAAUGAUGUGCUUUUAUUGUAUUUUGGUUAUAUUUUGCAUAAACAUCUAUUUUAGUUUAUUUUUAAUCAAUUUUGUUUGAUUUAGAAUAUUUUGUGUGCUUAAAUCUCAUGCAUAAUUGUAGGUGAUCAAAAGCUCAAAUUUUAAUAAAGGAAUGUUGUUGCAAUGGGCUUGUGAAAAUAUGGAAAGAACUUGGCUAUAGAAGAACUGAAACAAAUUUGGAAUAGUGCAGUUAUUGUAGCCGUUGCUUUAGCAUUUGUUGCUGUAGUAAUCCUGGAGCAUUGACAUGGAAGAUUUCGAGUGAGGUACUUAGAAGAUUGGGAUUUGGAGUUUCCAAAUCUUGAAGAUACGUGCCCUAAACUUUCGGUUACCCUAAUUUUUAACUGUAAAAGGAGCACAGAAGACAACAUAUUUAGGCUACAAUCAAAUUGCUAUAGCACCAGAGGAUCAGGAGAAGACAACAUUCACUUGUUCUUAUUGAACUUUUGCUUUUAGAAGGAUGUCAUUCGGUUUGUGCAAUGCUCCAGCAACCUUCCAGAGGUGUAUGAUGUCCAUUUUUUCAGAUAUGGUCAAGCAAACAUUAGAGAUGUUAAUGGAUGACUUCUCGAUUUUUGGGGAAACAUAUGAUGAUUGCUUACACAAAUUAGAAAAUGUGCUUAAGAGGUGUGGGGAGACUAACUUGGUGCUCAAUUGGGAAAAGUGCCACUUUAUAGUACAAGAAGGCAUAGUCUUGGGCCAUAAAGUCUCAAAAAAGGGAAUAGAGGUGGGCAAAGCAAAAAUAAAAGUGAUACAUAAAUUUCCACCCUCAACUUCAGUAAAGGGUAUUAGGAGUUUUCUAGGACAUGCUGGGUUCUACAGAAGGUUCAUUAAAAAAUUUUCCAAAAUAGCUAAACCCUUGUGCAUGCUGUUAGUAUAUGACAAACCUUUAAACUUUGAUGAAGAUUGCUUAAAAGCUUUUUGUGAAUUGAAAAAAGCUCUUGUUACAGCACCCGUCGUUAUAGCACCAGAUUGGAGUUCACCUUUUGCGUUGAUGUGUGAUGCCAGUGACUACUUUGUUGGAGCAGUUCUAGGGUAAAGGAAGAAUAAGAUUUUUCAUUCCAUUUACUAUGCUAGUCCUUACCGAUGCUCAGAUCAAUUAUACCACCACUGAAAAAGAAUUGUUAGCAGUUCUAUUUGCAUUUGAAAAAUUCAGAGCCUAUUUGGUUAGCACCAAAGUGACAGUGUACACAGACUAUGCAGCAAUAAUGUAUUUGAUUGCAAAGAAGGAUGCCAAACCAAGGUUGAUAAGGUGGAUCCUUUUGCUAUAAGAGUUUGACUUGGAGAUCAAGGAUAGAAAAGGGACCAAGAAUGAAGUAGCAGAUCAUCUUUCAAUGCUUGAAGCAGAUGUAAGCACCUUGACCAAACAUGACAUCACAUAAAUAUUCCAUGAUGAGCAACUACUAAUGCUACAACAUGCACAUAUGCUGCAACAGUCUGGACUCCCAUGGUAUGCAGAUUUUACUAAUUACUUGGUGAGUGAACUUUUACCACCUGAUUUGAGUUAUCAGCAGAAGAAGAGAUUUUUCCAUGAUGUCAGAAGCUAUCAGUAGGAUGAUCUCUCUUUGUAAAAGAUGUGUUCAGACCAUGUGAUCAAAAGAUGUAUACCUGAUGAAGAAAUUCCACACAUAUUGCAUUCAUGCCAUGCUGCAGCAUAUGAAGGACAUUUUGGAGGCCACAAAAUAGCUGCCAAAGUUUUACAAUUAGGUUAUUACUGGCCCUCUAUUUUUAAAGAUGCUUAUAAGUUUAUUAAAUGUUGUGAUAGGUGCCAAAGAACAAAGAACAUAUCUCAAAAGCAUGAAAUGCCAUUAACGAACAUUUUAGAAGUUAAGCUCUUUGAUGUAUGGGGAUAGACUUACGGGUCCAUUCCCACCAUCUUUUGGGAACUUAUAUAUUCUAGUUGCCGUAGACCAUGUGUCCAAAUAGGUAAAAGCUUUAGCCUUGCCGACAAUUGAUGCCAAAGCUGUGGUGAAAUUCUUUCAAAGGAAUACUUUCUCAAGGUUUGGGACUAUAAGGCACUCAUUUUUGCAACAUGAUAUUUGCUGCAGCAUUGACUAAAUAUGUAAUUAAGCAUAAAACUGCUACAGCAUAUCACCCACAGUCUAAUGGUCAUCCAAACGUGUCAAACUGGGAGAUCAAAAGGAUUUUAGAGAAAAUAGUGAACCCUACUAGAAAAAAUUAGUCACUUAGAUUACAUGAUUCCUUGUGGGCCUACAAGACACCACUUGCCAUAUCUCUAUACGAAAUUGUCUAUGGCAAAACUUGUCAUUUUCCAUUAGAGCUAUACCAUAAAACAUAUUGGGCAUUAAAACAACUAAACAUGGACAUGCAUGCUGCAACAGAGUAUCAAAAAUUCCAACUUUGUGAACUUGAUGAGUUAAAAAUGCAAGGAUUUACAAGGAGAAAACAAAACAAUGGCAUGACAAGCACAUUCAGCAAAGAAAUUUAAUUCCAAGCCAACAAGGUUUGCUCUACAACUCAAUAUUAAAGCUUUUUUUUUUGGGAAAGUUAAAAUGUAGAUAGUUUGGACCUUUUAGACUUAUCAACAUUUAUCCUUAUGGUGCUGUAGAUUUCAAGAAUGAGAAAACUAGUAAGGAAUUUAUGGUAAAUAGGCAAAAAAUCAAACAUUACAUUGGUGAUGUCUUGCAGGACUCAAUGGAGGAUGUAAGCCUCACAGAUCCAGUUUGAGCAGAUUAGAGAAGGUCAGACUGAAGGACCUAAAAUCAAGUGCUAAUUGGGAGCCAAUCCAAUAAUUAAGGAAGUUAUUUUUAUUUUUCUUUGAAUUUAAUUUUGCAUGUUUCUCUUUAUGUUUAUUGUUAUUAUGAUUAGUUAAUUUCUUUUCGUGUUUUAUUGCAGUCUAACUAAAAAAAAAAAACUUGGGCUAUGAAACUGACACAUGUUGCUGCAGCAUUACACUUUACAUGACAGUUAGACAAUGCUUCUCAUCAAACGGGGAACAUUACUGCAGAUUGUUGUAGCACAAGAUUAUUUGUUGUAACAACAAUUCUUAACCUUACAGUGACACACCUAUGGAAAAUUUUCUUUUACCAUUGGGAAUAAAUUUUUGACAGCUGGCUUAGCAAAUCAAGAUAAAGAUAAGAAGGGAUUACAUAAUCCUUAGAUUCUCGAACCAAUAUCCUUUCCUUAUUUAAAUUGGAUAUGUUUUUAAAUUCAAAUAUUAUUUUCAAUUUUAUCUUUUAAAAUAAAAUUUUCUUUUAUUCUUAUUUUUACCAUCACCUAUAUAUUAGGGUUUUAUUGUACUUUCUGUAAUCUCAUUCCAAAUUUUUUUUCUUUCUUCUCUCAUCAACAACUCCCUACAGUCACAACUCCUUUCACGGUCUGUCCUUUUUCUUUUACCCAACAACUUAGACCUGGUUGCUCUAGCCAUAACAAGAUACAAAAGACUGUGGCUAGACUAAAUAACCCCUCACGAUUCUAUAGUUACAAUGCCGAAGAUAAGUUCGAUGAAUUUAUCAAAUCAAGAAUGAUUUUAGAAGAAAAAAGAUUCCAAUUCCUGCCACAACCUUCUGGAACAAUCUACACUAUCCAUGCUGCUGCAGCAAGAAGGGGCUGGUUAGAAUUUUGCACCCAUUUAAGGGACCCUGUGCUACCGAUUGUCAAGGAAUUUUAUGCCAACAUGCUCCGGCAAGACCAAUGCACAAUUUGGGUAAGGAACACUCAAGUUUCCUUAGACCCAAGAGUAAUUAAUGCUUUUUACAAUUUACUCUUUGAUGUUGACUGUGAGUACUAAAAUAUGAUUGGAAGCAUGACCCCUAAGAAAUAGAAUAGUGUGCUUAAAACCCUUAUAGUGGUAGGUAGUUCAUGGGCAAGUGACGAGGGUCGAGUAAUAAAUAGGAUCGAUUUAAAACCAAUUACCAAAGUUUGGGUAAAAUUUUUGAAAUCUAGAUUGAUGCCCACAAUACACACCAUCACCGUGUCCCAAGAAAGGUUGAUACGUAUUGCCAAUUGAUGUUGGGACAAUUAUCGAGAGGGAGAUUAGAGAAUGUGCUAUGAAAAAGCACAAACUGUUGCUUUGUAUUUUCUUAACUUAUCUCUAGCUUAUGUCUUGUAUCUGGAGUGAACAUAAUUGCAAAGGAUGAAUGCAUUAAGAAUGAAGGAGCUCUCACUGCUCGUACUAUAGAAAGAAUUACUGGUGAAUCUACUGCAGCAAUACCAAAGCAUAUUGCUAUAGUAGGAGCAAGGAGGGCCAUUGGGGUUGAAAUGAGAUUGUAAGAGCUGAGUGACAGUAUCACUCAAUGUGUAGAGGCACAACAGAGAAAAAAUAAUCGAUUCUGGAACUACUUGAUGCAUCUUGAAGACCACUUGCAUCAAUUUACUGUUUACAUGAAAAACAAAAAUAGAGACUUUCCUAAUAGCUUGUUGCAAUACUUUAAUUUUCACACAGCAGAAGAAGAUGCACCCACUCAAGUAGCAACCAAUGACGAAGAAUCAGAGUUUGAGGAAGAACCACAACCAACUAAGGAGGACAAAGAGGAGUAUGAAGAAACAUCAAAAGAAGAAAAUAAUGAGUAAAGUGCGGGAGAUGAUUCAAUAGAAGAGCAGGGAGAGGCACCUCCAGUAGUGUCUCCUAAACGUAGAAAGAAGCACAUCAUCAAAAAUGAUGAUGAAGAGAUAAAAGAUGAGCAAGCUGAUAAGCCUCCAGUCCCAAUAUUCUCUAGUAAAGGCAAAGAAAACGUUAUGAGUGAUGACCACUUAGAGGACAAUUAAGAGGACAUUGAUGCAGAACUUAAAGCAGCUGCCACAAGCGUUACUUAAAUAGCUGCAGAAAAGUAGAGUUUACUCGAUAUAAUUGUUGAAAUCACUGCUGAAGAACCUGCUGCAACAACAUUUGCUCAAAUUGCUCUACAACAAACUCGAACCAAAUUUCCUACCAUAGCUCUUAGGGGAUCUAGCAAACACAAAGGGGCACAAAUCUCUAGAGGUGCUACAACACUAGAAGAACCAGAGCACAACCAAACAAGACCCACUCAGCCCAAAGUUACUGUACCUACUGGAACUCCACCAAUCAGUCCAACUCUAAGUAAAAAAAAGAAGCAGCCAGCUGCCACAUCACUUGGUUCACCCAAAGAGCGUUUGCGAAGUAUAACUAAAAAGAAGUAAAUCUACUGCAACGGAAUAUCCAACAACAUGGGACUAUCCCUUGCCAGCCCAUUUUAAUUUUUCAUCAUUUGAAACUUUUCGUUUAUUUAUUUGUUUUUUAUUGUUUAAUUUUCAUUCUUUUGCUUGUUAAUGCAUGCAUUUUUGUCUUAAUUUAGUUUGUGUGCUUGUGAGGACACAACACCUCUCAGUUUGGGUGGUUUUUGUUAUGGUGUUAUGUGUUUGUGUUGAGUGUCAUGUGAAGCUCUGUUAUUGAGCAUUUAUGUAUGGAUUGGAAAACCUAAUGAUGAUGAAUUGACUGACAUUCAAUAUUUAUGAUUGCUGAAGUAGGGAUAGUGUACAGAUGAAGGCUGAAAUUUUGUCUCAACACUUAGACUUUGGUUGAGUUUCAUGAGUAUGCUGUAGCAGAGAUAGGAGAAAAACAUUGAGGGUAAAAAAAAAAAUCUUAAGUUUCAGGGAAAUUUUUUGUUAAACUGUUCUUGUUAUGAAAUAAAUGCUGCUUCAAUGGCUUAUGUUGCUGAGUAACUGGGGCUGAGUAUAUACUCUAUAUGCAGACUUGAGUCCAAAGGCAAUAAGAGCUAUGAGCAUUGCUGUAGCAUCUAUUAAAAAGUGAGAGAAAUAAAGGUCCUUUAUCUAGGAUAAUGAGUAACUAGGCCUGUUCAUAAGCCAUAUGUUCAGCCUUGAGUUAAAGAUAUCUUUAGAUAAGACCAUGUUGUGAGCAGUACUGCAGAAACUCUGAUAUGUACAUUGGUUGAGUAGUUGGGUGUCAUCACCAUAAGUGAUAGACAUUCACAUUAAAAAUCAAUGAUACAUUGAAGAGAAUUUAAUAAAAAAAAGAGAAUAUUAUGCUAUAACACAGUUUCAACUUUGUUUGUGACUUCCGCUCUCCCAUGUAUGAAUGUACUUGUAGUAUACCUCUGAAGUAUAUGUAACAUUUGUACAAUGCUGCAACAUCUUUAAAAUUUGAUCAAAGUGGCACACACACACUUUGGACAGAAUGAGGCCUAAGUCUAAAAUUGAACUACUGUGGCAAAUUUGCAUGAUUAAAAGUGUGAUCUGAGGGUUGAGAAAUCCUUACAGACUUGAUGACAAAGCUACUUUAUUAGUGCAUGAUUGUGUGAUUAAAGUGUGAGUAUUGUUAUCAUUAUUUGAGGACAAGUAAUGGUUUAAGUUUGAGGGUAUAUUAACUCUAUGAAAUGAGAGUUAUCAUGAGACUUUUAGACUUAAAUAAAGAUUACUUAGAAAGUAAAUGAUGUGUUUUUAUUGCUUUUUUUACUUUAUCUUUAAUCAAUUUUGUUUGAUUUAGAAUAAUAUGUGUGCUUAAAUCUCAUGCAUAAUUAUAUUUGAUUGAAUGCUCAAAUUUUAAUAAAGGAAUGCUGUUGCAAUGCGCUUGUAAAAAUAAGGAAAGAACUUGGUUACAGAAGAAUUGAAAUAAAUCUAGAACAGUGCAGUUACUGUAGCCGUUGUUGUAGCAUCUGUUGCCAUAGCAAUCCUAGAGCAUUGACAAAGAAGAUUUUGCACGAGAUACUUAGAAGAUUGCGAUAUGGAGUUUCCAAAUCUAGAAGAUACGCGGCCUAGACUUCCGGUUGCCCUAAUUCUCAACUAAAAAAGGAGCACAAAAGCAAGGAAAGAGGAGAGUCGUCAACUAAGAACAAAAAUCGAAAAGAAACAAGAGUAAAAUAGAAUUCAAGAGUAAGAUUUAGGGCUGCAUCAGAGGAGAACACGCAGAGAUCAAUUGGGAAAUCAAUUCUUCUUAUUCUUUUCUUGUUUUCUCGUUUACUCUUCAAUCAAUGAGAUGUAUUUGAUGGCUGAAACCCAUUUAUUUAUUUUUCUUUCACAAACCAUGAACUAAAUUUAUUUGUGGUUGAGUGAUAAACAAUCUUCAUGGUUCAUUGACUGAUUAUAUGUGUUGCUGGAUGUUUGUUAUAGCGCUUUGUUUUGAUAAUACUUAUUUCUAUUCAUUAUUUCAGCUGACCACCCAUUUAAUGAUAUUAACUAAGAAAGAGUCACAAAAAGGCCUAUCUUAGUGGGACAUAUCAUAGCAAUACUUGGUUUUGGAUUGAGUUUCCUGAGUUGAGUUUUACUUGAUUCUAAAAGGGUUAUGCUUAAUCUAAAACUAAUGAUAAACUAGACACAGGGAUUCACCUUGUAGUGUAAAUAGAACUUAGAUCAUUUAUUGAUAUAUUUAAUGUUGGCGUAAUAAUUGGUCAUUAUUAGGUUGCAUUAGAUAUAAGAUAUCCAACAUACGACAGCUGAUGAUGCAUGAGAGAUUCUGCCUAGUGCUGUAGCAACUAAACUUAAAAUUGGAAGAAAUAGUCAAAACUAUUAAGAGAGUUUAAUUCUUCGACAUAAGAAUUUUCUUUGCUGCAUUUUUAUUUAUUGAAUUUUAUUUUAAUUAGUGUUUUAAUUUUAUUAGUUGCUUUAUUUUCAAUUAAAACAAAACUGCAUUGUUAAGAUUGUUGUAGCAAACCUAAUAACAUCAAUCCCUGUGGAGACGAUCUGAAUACUCAUCAGUAUACUACUUGUUGUGUACACUUGCAUAUUGACACCCAUAGCAUUUGAAUUAACAUACAACAAUAACCUUUGGCAACGAGUCUAAAAAUAUCUAAAUGAUGUCCAGUAUCGAAAGCCAAACAGUAAGUUCCAAUGCCUUUAACUGAAGCUUUAACCCAGUUCCCUAUGAAAAUAAACUUCUCAUUUGGGUUUGUGCUUUGGAUCGUAAGAAAUCCCUGCAUCAUGUUUGAAACGUGAGUAGUGCAACUAAUCCACCACAUGUUAUAAGGAACUUCNNNNNNNNNNNNNNNNNNNNNNNNNNNNNNNNNNNNNNNNNNNNNNNNNNNNNNNNNNNNNNNNNNNNNNNNNNNNNNNNNNNNNNNNNNNNNNNNNNNNNNNNNNNNNNNNNNNNNNNNNNNNNNNNNNNNNNNNNNNNNNNNNNNNNNNNNNNNNNNNNNNNNNNNNNNNNNNNNNNNNNNNNNNNNNNNNNNNNNNNNNNNNNNNNNNNNNNNNNNNNNNNNNNNNNNNNNNNNNNNNNNNNNNNNNNNNNNNNNNNNNNNNNNNNNNNNNNNNNNNNNNNNNNNNNNNNNNNNNNNNNNNNNNNNNNNNNNNNNNNNNNNNNNNNNNNNNNNNNNNNNNNNNNNNNNNNNNNNNNNNNNNNNNNNNNNNNNNNNNNNNNNNNNNNNNNNNNNNNNNNNNNNNNNNNNNNNNNNNNNNNNNNNNNNNNNNNNNNNNNNNNNNNNNNNNNNNNNNNNNNNNNNNNNNNNNNNNNNNNNNNNNNNNNNNNNNNNNNNNNNNNNNNNNUGCCCUUGUGAUAAUUUUUUCUUUCAGGCUUCUUUUCAGCUUCUUUAUGAUCCAUGAAGUUAAUUGAGUGAAUUCUUUGUUUCUUAAGUCUUGUCUCUUCUUGAAUAAGCUUGGUCUAGAGCUCAUUUAUACUCAAUUUGUCUUUAAUGGUGUUAUAAUUUAUUUCAAAUGCACCAUACUAAAAGGCAAAGAGUUGAUAAUGAAUUGCACAAGGAAACUUUCACUUACUUCCAUCCUCACAGACCUCAAUUUUGUUGUUGUGUCUAUCAUCUCAGUCACAUGCUGAUGCAUGGUACAUGUACCAUCUAACUUACAUGUGGUCAACGUACCCAUUAAUGCCCUAGCAAGAGAUCUAUCGGCCAAUUUAGACUGAGAACUCUCUUUCACAAAUUCCAUAUAUUCCUUAGCACUUUCAGUUUUCGAAAUUGUAGACUUGAUGUUGUUGGCAACUGUCAUCUACAUAAACAUUAUGCUUAGUUUGUUUAAUAUCUCCCAAGUCUUAUGGAAAGAUCUCUCUUCAGCACUGCUUUCAUCAAUAAUAGCAGUUGGCCUUUUAGUUAAUAGUGCUAAGUCAAGAUCCAAAACACCUAAGUGAAACUGGACUUGCUCAGACUAAUCUAGGUAAUUAAGGCCAUUAAACGUAACAACAGACGAAGCUUGCGAAUGAAGAGCAACAGGCACAGGUGCUGCAAAUAUAUAUCAAUGCUCAUACAUUAAUUCUUUGAACUUAAACACAUAAUAUAGAUUCAGAUAAAAUUCACAUAAACUUUAAGCACAUAUUGAAGUUCACCUUUGGACGAUACAACAAUACACUACAAUAAACAUAAUUAAUGCUUUACUUUAAUUUCAUAUAAUUAGUAAUUAAAUACACAUUAACUAGACAAGUAAGCUAUUUUUGGAUGUAAUAAACAUAACUGAUUACCCACAAUCAUGAUCAUAGAUUAUAAAAUUAGUUAAUCAACCUUUGGGUGAUUCUAAAUAUUUUAUAAUCUAUGAAUUUCAAUAUACCUACAAGCAAAAUCAUCAUGUCAUUAAAUAAUAAGCAUCACAAUAAUUACGAGUAUUUGAAAUUGAAUUUAAUUUGACAUCUAUGAAAACUUUCUAAAUUGGCCACUUUGGUGACUAACAAAUUAUCAUAAUAUGAGUGUCAAAUUGAAUAUUUAUAACAAAGUUUUUUCCUUAAUAAAAAUAAAUAAAUAAAACCACAACUAUCAAUUGAAAUUUCAAACAUUAAAAUUGGAAUAUUAAAAAAUUUCAAAGAUUAUUAAUUAAUGAGUAGAAGCAUUCAAAAUUAUAUUAACAAAACUUAUAAAGCUUGACGUACAUAAAGUUAGUGGCUUUAUCAUACUGAACCCAAUCAAUCAUACCUAUAAUUUAAUAAAAAUAAAAAAUCAGGGACUAAACUAAAAAUUUACAUGUUAAUCCUAAAUUUCGGCCUAAGACAGCAUGUUACGGUCGUUGCCAAUUCUGUUGGACUUAAAUGCAAUAAAAUUCUAAAUUUUGUAUCAAAAACAUAAAUCAUGAAACCUUAGGGGGUCCAAUGAAACUAUCCAAAUGCGCGGCCAACACUUUUUUUUUUGUUCUUUCCUGUUUUAUAACAAAAUAAUAUAUGCAAAAUACCUACGUUAAUAAUUUUCUUUCUACAUUAUGUAUAUGUAGAAUAAUAACUCAAAUUGGCGCAUAUCGAUCAGGACAAUUGAAAAUAUGAGAGGGUUAUUAUAGAUUUUAAUGGAAAAUCAUGAAUUCUCAAAUAUGCUCUAAUACCAAGUAUUGAAAUUUUUACAAUUCCCAUAAAGCAAAUAAACUCUAAUUUGAAUAAAAUUUAAUCCCUAGGAUCAUAGGAUAUCAUAAUUUUCACAUCAUCAUAAUUGAGAGAAAAUAUACCUUGAUUCAUAGUGAUUUUUCUUGAUCAAAUCUCACUACCAAGAGUUAAAGAUUAGCAAAAUUGAUUUCUUUCUAUUGACUUACUUUCUGAUAGAGAGAAAAUUAACAUGAUAUCUUUUAUAUAUUGGCUGAAGAGAGGACCAAUUUUAAUGAAAUCCUAAUUUACACUUUCCAUCAAAGUGGGCAGUUAAUUUUUCCCAAUUGACCAAUAGGAUUUUGGCCCAUGAUUUAUUUUAUUAUUACUAAUUUAAUUAUGUGGCAUGUGGCCCACUAUAAAAUAUUCCAACACAAAAAUUAAAUACAAAUUUAUGAGAAUACAAAUUAAAACGAUCUCAUUUAAUAACAUAAUGAAAUAAUCAAGAAAAUAUAUUUAAAAUAUUACCAAACCUAGAAUGUGUCUUCAAUAUAAGGGAAAUUGUCAAUUUUUCCCCUACUGUAAUCAAUAUAUAUUAUUUACCCCCUUUCUGUUUUUAUAAUAGUCAAUAAUCCCCUGACAGUAUAAAUUUAUAAUAUUAUCCUUUUUUAAAUGCACUUUUAUUCAUAUUUAUUAUAAAUUAAAUAAAUCACAUAAAUGGAAAUUAAAAUAAAAAAUUAAGUAUAAAAAUAAGAAAUAUAUGUUUUGAUGUGAAAAAAAUUAAUAAUAAAAUAUUUUUCUUGUAUUUUUUUAUUUUAUUAAAAUUUUCUUAUAAUAAAUAUAUAAGAAAAUUACUAUAAAAUGAUUAUAUGAAAAGUUGAGUGAUUAAUAAAAAAUAUUUUAAAAUAAAUAAUUGAAUAUUUUUCUCGUACUUUUUACAUUUAAUUUUAAAAUAUUAUAAAAUAUGUAUUAAAAGAAACUGUUUACAAAAUAAAAAGUAAAAGAAAAAAAUUUAUUAUUAAUUUUUUUGUUCACAUCAAAACAUACAUUUCUUCUUUUUAAUACUUAAUUUUUAUUUAAUUUCUAUUGAUAUGAUUUAUUUAAUUUAUAAUAAAUAUAAAUAAAAGUGUAUUUGAAAAUAAGGAUAAUAUUGUAAACUUAUACUGUCAGGGAGUUGUUGGUUAUUAUAAAAAUAGCAAGGAGGUAAAUGAUAUAUAUUAAUUACAAUAGGGGGAAAAUUGUCGAUUUCCCUAAAUAUAAACACCAUGAAUAUGAAAUGUUUGUGUGUGUGUGUACAUAUAUAAAUUUAGAGUAAUAAUAUAGCCACAAAUUAUUGUACAAACUUAUGUGGUGUUAAUUCAUUGGUUGAAUUAAAUAUUUCUUGGUCCACAUGAUUUAUUUCUAUUAUUUUAUAUUUUUAUUCAACCAAUGAAUUAAUGCCACAUCAAUUUGUACAAGAUAAGUUUGUACAAGAGUUUGUGACUGUAUCAUCACUCAUAAAUUUAAUAGAUUGAAUGUUAAAAUUCAUGGUUAGCUUUCACAUGAAAAGCAUACGUAAAAAUAAUAUUAAUUUUUUUGUAGUUCAAAGCAAAUGUAUGUAAUGAUAUGCAAAACUUAUUGAUUCUUAUGAUUAAAAUUAUUCUUAUGAUUAAAAUUAAGUGUUACAUUUAUUUGAUCAAGAAAUUGGAAUAUCUCUACUACCUUCAAUGCGUUUGAUCUAUUUGAGUAUCAUUUAGAUGACGAGGAGUUGUACUAGAAUAAUUUGAGGACGAGUUCUCUUCCAAGUGAAGGGGACUGCUGUAGAAUUGAUUGUGUGAGACGGGUAAGAAACUUUUCUGGGAGUCAUAACUUGAGCUACAAAUGUCUAUUUGGGGCGUAUAAUAUAUUAUUUUGAAUCUUGUACUCCCCAAUUUCUUAAUGGGGUGGAGUUUGGUUUUGUACUCCCCACCCCACCCCACCCCACCCCAAUCCCCAUUAUAUAUAAAUAUGUUUUUAAUUCUUAUUUAAUAAUUUUUAUUUUAUCAAUUAUAAUGUCAAUUAAUUUUUUUUUUAAUUUUUAUACAAUAUAAACAAGAUAUGAAUGAAAGAAAAUCCUAUAAUAUAUUUCAACUUUGAAAUAUUGUUAUAUUUUCUUUUCUCUUUUAAGGUGCUACGCUCUUUAAAUAUUUUUCACUUUUAAUAUCAUUUUAAGAUAUUGUUUCAAACUUUUAGAUUUUUUUUAAAAGAAUUUAAAUACUUUAUAAUAUGAUAAUGAAUUUAUUUUAAGUCUCUAAUUUUUAACUUACUAAAAUAAUAUAUUUAUACAUAUUAUAAAAUAGAUAAAUGGGGAAUGGGGUGGGGAUGGGGAAAUCAUUCCCCACAUGAGGAUUCUCCAUCCCCACCCCACUAAAUUUAUUGGGGAAUGGGGUGGGGAAUGGAGGCAAAAAUUUCUAACGGGAUGGGGAAUGGGGUAGGCCUCCCCACCCUCACCCCACCCCAUUGCCAUCCCUAGUUCCGGAGGCUGCUCUACGUUGGAGCUGCUCCAACGUAGCAGCUACCAAAUUAUUAUUUAGUUAACAUUAUCAAUUUAUGGAAAGUAUAAUAAUUAACAUUAUCAAUUUAUGGAGAUAAUACUCUGAUUUCCUUUUCCACACCUAGUAUUUUUCACUUGAACAACACAUGACAAAAAGUUCAAAUCAAAAUUUUAUUUAAAAUUAAAGACAACAGAUUCAUAUGUAAAUUUAUUUAGAGAGAGAUGAAAAGUCCACUGGGAGAAGAAUUUUUUAUUAACGCACGAAAAGAAUGGGCGCCGUAUUAAAAAGGAUAUUAUAACGCACAAAGAGAUUGUGUGGAAUAUUUAAAAGAAUCUCUAAAGCAUGUUUAGAAUAAAUGUCAAAGUGUUGUAUUGAAUUUAAUCUUUAUUUAUUUAUUUUUGACAUCAAGAUAGCUCUGGUUGGUGUGGAAAAGUAAUUAACAAAUUAACUAGGAUCUUAAUUGUCAACAAUUUUGAUUCUAGUACAGGAGUAAUAUUUAUUUAAGCAGUUAAUUUCUUGGUCAUCAAUGGCCCGAGUAGGAAAUUAAGACAUGUCCUCAUGAUUCAUGAGACAAUUAAUUCAAACCAUAUAUAAGUACUUUUUGAAUUAAGUACAUUAUAUACAAGUACUUUUUCAAUUAAGUACAUUUUACAGUUCAAUUUAAUUCAAUUUAGUAAACUUGAACGGUCAAUCUUUCAAAAUCAUUGGACUCAAAUUAACCAGCAGCUAGCCUCCCUACCUACUUUCAAUAUACUCUUUUUUUCAAACAAGAUUUCAUAAAGAAGAUUAGAAGUGUCAUUCCUCAUUAAUAAAGAAAUGUAUCGAAGAAUUAUUAUAUUGAAUUUUGCAUAUGCAUACAUACAUUCAUAAAGUGAUGAGAAAAUUAUCGUUUUCACGUGGAUUGUUUAAUUUAGUAAUUAUGAAAAUUAAUUAAUCUAGAUUUUUUUUGAACAAAUAGAUAAAAGAUUUUUUUUUUGAAAAGUCGAUUAAAGAAUAUUGAAUGAGAAAAGUUUUAAAGCAAAAUCAAUUUAAACAUCUGAUUUCAGCAUAACUAUUCUAAUUUAAUUCCUAUAUAUGUUUAUGCAACAAAAGUUUUUUUAAUUACCGCAUUUUACCCAUUUUGACAAUUAAAAAUUCUAAUUGUCUUUAUAACCAUUCUCCAGCAAUAUUAAAGAUACUUCGGCAAUAAUUGUUUUUAUAACCAUGGUCGUCAUAGACUGGGUGCAUAAAUCGAUCACGAAUAAGGAUAUAUAGUACAUUUUUGUCUACAUCGUAGUUCAUGACAUUCAUCGCAUGAGCUAAAAACACAUUUGUCAUGCUACUCAAAUUAAUUGAAUAUUGGACAAAUAGUUAAAAAACAAAUCUCACAACAUGAAAAAAUCAAUUUUGAAUAACAUAAAUUUAUUGAAUAAAUUUUCAUAGAUAAACUGCAUCGCAACCCUAUAAAAAAUAUAAUUCAUAAUAAAACUAACGAGUCCAUAUGCAAUUGUAAUCAUUCACAUUUUUUUUUUUUUUGUGUAGAGGAGUAUUUCAUGCUCUUUUUGCAGGUCUAGAGAACAACUCUCGAUUUUAUUAAGAAAAAUAAUAUUUGACGACAAAAAAAAUAUUAUCAUAACAGAAAUGAUAGCACUUUAGUAUAAAUAGUAUUGUUAUUUUGGGUCAGUUUGGGUUAACUUUUGCUUUUGCUUCUACUUAAAAGUAAAAGAUAAGUAAAAGCUCUAGUUUAUUUUUGCUGUUUGGAUGACCAUAGUAAAAGAAUUUUUUUUUUUUUAAUGAGAAGCUCUUUUUGAAGUGUUUGGAUGACCAUCUAAAAAAGACCUUUUAAUCAUUAUAAAGUCAUUAAUACCCUUAAAUAUUUGAGUCUAACAAAUACUUAUCAAAUUUAAAAAUCAAUGACAAACAAAAUAAUUAUUUGAUCAAUCUAGUUAAACUUUUGCAAAUUAAAGUACCGUUUUUCUUUAUAAAAAAGAAGAACAAAAAUAACUAGAUUAAGUUUGUAACAUAUGUGAAUUAAAAAUGAAUAAGUAUGAGGCGGUUAAGAAUUUAGUAAAAGCAAAAGAAUAAGCUGGAAACAGAGGAAACAUAUGCACGUGUAACAGAGAGUGAGAGAGAAGCUGCCAAACCGACCCAACUACAGACCCAAAAACCCGACCCGGAACCGGCGAUCCUGACCCGGCCAUAUCUCCCAUUUCCGGCCACCGUUUCGGCCGAGCUUGGUACCAAUAUGAAGCUUAGAAGCUGGCCGUCAUUCUCUUGCCAUCCUCGUCGCCGAAAACCAACCGGAACACCGGCGAUCGAAGCUUGAAACCCACGACUGUUUCACUUUGCUCCACCGGGAUUUGCGCCGGUUUUGGGUGACACCACCGGUUGGAUUUUGUUCCCCACGACUCCCUCUUCCAUUUCCGACCAUCCAUAGGCACCGAGAGUCACUGUUUUGCCGCCGGUCGAUUGUUGGAAUUCACGGCUGCCGAGCUAGAUUCCGGCGUCGUUGCCGCGCAUUCGAGCUCACUGCCGGUACCAUUGAACUCAGCGUGAUUGGAACCUUAAGAUUUGAGCUUCCUAGCCAGUGUUGGCCAAAUUCCGGUGACCGUUGAUCGGCAAGGGCAUUUUGGUAAUUUCACACUAUGAGGGCAAUUUUGUAAUUUCUGAGCCUGUGGAUAUUUUAGUAAUUCCUAGAAUUGAGUCGAUACGCAAAAUCAUUAACCAAAC
rnacentral:lncRNA from 1 species